CGCCGCCCCGGCCGGGACCGGACCGGAGCGCCAUGGGCCCCGCGGGCGCGCGUCCCGGCUCCCCGCCGUCGCCACCGCUGCUGCUGCUGCUGCUGCUGCUGCUCCUGCUCCGGGCCGAGCGGCCGCGGGGCGCCGAGCUCACCUUCGAGCUGCCCGACAGCGCCAAGCAGUGCUUCCACGAGGACGUGGAGCGGGGCGCCAAGUUCUCCCUGGACUACCAGGUCAUUACCGGAGGCCACUAUGACGUGGACUGCUACGUGGAGGACCCCCUGGGAAAGACCAUCUACAGGGAAACCAAGAAGCAGUACGACAGCUUCACGCACCGGGCCGAGGUCAAGGGCGUUUAUCAGUUUUGCUUCAGCAAUGAGUUCUCCACCUUCUCUCACAAGACCGUCUACUUUGACUUCCAAGUGGGCGACGAGCCCCCCAUCCUCCCAGACAUGGGGAACAGGGUCACGGCCCUCACCCAGUGAUUCUGGGCCCUGGGAGGAGCCUGCACCUGCCGACCUGCACUGCUGAGCCCCCAGCCAGGCCCAGGGCCCAGGGAGCGCCCGCUCCGAGUCUCUGAAUGAGCGUGUGACGCACCUAAGCGUAGAGGGUGGAAUUCUAGCCCGGAAACCCACGUGGGCCCUUCGCUCGUGCUUAAAGGCAAAGUCUGUGUGUGCACGCAUAGUGAGUGUGUGUGCGUGUGCAGGUCCCACAGGUGCGCAUGCCUACGUGUGCGUCCCCGGCCCCCGCUGAUCUCAAGGACACCCCGAACCUGCUUUUGUGGCGGGGCCCUCGGUGCCCACGUCUGUCCGCCGCUCUGCCCUGUCUUGCCCACAGAACCGCAGUGACCAGUGCAGCUGGACUAGAGAGGCUUCCAGAAAUGCCGUGUCGUGAUUUGGCCUGGACACAGGCUCGCAGAGUAGCCUGACCCCAUGCCGCGGCCUCCUUCCUAGCCCUUCCCGGUUUAUCCGCUGUUCAUUCUGUGAUGGCGGACGUGCCUUCGUGAGCUCCAGAAGCGUCACCUGAAGAGCUGGGGUGGGGGGCGGGGGGGGGGGUGUCAGCGCCUACGAAUGCCGCCGUGCGUCUGGCAGAGGUCUGUGCCCCGGGUGGUCCUGUUGUGGGCGGCAUUUGAAGCCGGUUGACACAUCAAGGAGCUCCUUGGUGUCAGGAGCCCUUCCAGGAUCAGGUGGCCGCUUCUCAGCGUCUGACGCCUGUAGGUACGAGCCGCCUACCAAGUGUGGGGCAGGUGACGACGCCGGGCGCCAGCCCGAGAUGACAGGGUGUGCAGGUGUCCCCGAGAAAGUGGGUUUGUUACCCUGGAUUCUGCCCUUUGAACUGCUGCCCUGUGGAGCUUCCCUAAUUCCACCUGGGUGGCAGUGACCCUGUCGCUUCCUGUCUGGGUGGCACUUUGCAGCUCUUCCCAUGGACCCGGGUGACAGCAGCCGCCCGCGUGUCCACAGGAAACCGUAGCCCUGGCGGCACACCAGUCAUAGGGUGGACACGAUACGUGGCCUUGGAAACUCCGGGGCCGAAAGGAGGCCUCGUCCUCCCUCGCGUGGCCUGGUGUGGCCCCUGCCGUGGCCCGGAGUGAACAGCCCGUGAGGCAGGUAAGGGCGACGUUGCUUUUUGGCCACAGUCUCCUAUUUGCCUCCCGGAAACAGUUCAUUUGUGACACAAGGGAGGGUGUUGGGGGUCAGUCAGGCGGUGGCUCCGUGACUCGGUCUCCCCUCCCUUCCUGCGCUCACGGUGUGGACAGUUCACCUCUGCGCUUUGGGGACCGAAGCAGGUGUCUCUGGGACGCGUCGCGAGCUUCUCUGGCCUUGUUGGGAUAGAAUCUUCUAGGUUUCAGAUAAAUGCGUGUCAUAGGUCACCUGUGAGUGAGCCUCAUGACCACCGUGGGCUUGUGAUUCGUGGCGUAACCGAGCGUCCGAAGCGGACCACGCGCACCUCAGUGCCGCAGGCGGGCGGUCCGGGCCACGCGGGUCCCCAGGCUGGGUCGGGGUGAGGCCGGGGAUUAGCUUCCGCGCUCGCCAGACUGUUGGCGGGUUCGGGUCCUUGUCGGCUGUUGUGCCCCGGCCCCCAGAGACCUCCUCCGGUCCCCGCACGUGCGCGUGUCCUCUAGGCUGGCAGCUGGAGCUCUGCUCCCUCUCGGGGGCUCCUGUGGUCAGGUGAGGCGCUGGGGUGGUGGCCGUGGCGUGAGGGUGGCCGUGCCGUGUGACCUAGUCACAGCUCAUCGUGUCGCGGGAGUCGGGCAGGUGGUGGGGAGGGGGAAGGGAUUCAAGGUUCUGCCUCAGCACGCGGAGCCGGGUGAAGGGGGUCCCACGUGAGCGUGUGUGUGUAAGCGCGUGCGUUCACGUGUGCGGUCGGGUGUGUGUGCGUACACGAGAGGGGUGUCUUCCUGUGCCUGUGUGUGUACAGGAACGGGCCCCCACGACUGUGACUCACGUCUCUGACCUCGGGCCGGUCACACGGCCUCUUGGAGCCUCAGUUUUCUCAUCUGCGUGCGGGGCCAGCGGUCAGUCAGGUCUCCUACCAGCGGGGUGGCGAUCCCCGCCCGCCACUGUCCCGAAUGUGAGAUGGAGUCGGCCUGUGUGACCAUCCACGAGGCCCUGAAGACGGUGAUCGACUCCCAGACGCAUUACCGGCUCCGCGAGGCCCAGGACCGGG